rnacentral:rRNA from 1 species
AAGUCUAAAACGACUCUCGGCAACGGAUAUCUCGGCUCUCGCAUCGAUGAAGAACGUAGCGAAAUGCGAUACUUGGUGUGAAUUGCAGAAUCCCGUGAACCAUCGAGUCUUUGAACGCAAGUUGCGCCCCAAGCCUUAGGGCCGAGGGCACGUCUGCCUGGGUGUCACA